GAAACCCUCGCUAAACCUCAUCAUUUCCUCUAAUGACUGACUGGGUUAUUCUGUAUUUUAGCAGUUGUACUACCUUUACCUGGAAACGAAGCCCUCUUUCUUCCUUUGCUGCCGAUUCAAAUCAAAUCAUAUUUUAAUUCCAUUCCAGUUUCCAACUCAGAGCAACCGAGGCCCCAGUUGUCCACCACCACUCGCCGCUACAGAGACGGAAAGAAAAAGGCAUAAAACAAAGGGGGAGAAAAAGCAAGUAGAGGGCAGUUUUCGUGGGUCUUCACCACCCAGUUCUUGCUCGAGAACCCAACUUUGAUCUGCAUUUAAGUUGUUGAAGACUUCAGCAGAAAUAAAUUUAGGGAAAAAAACAAGCUAGGGGUUUUAUCUUUUCUUAUCCAUUCCUUUUUUCUUUUUUUUUUUAAAAAAAAAAAAUUUAUUAUUGUUCAGAGAGGAUGGCGAGUCCUCUGUCAGAGAGAUUAGCACUGACACCAAAGACUCAGGUGACUACUCUGAUGACGCCGUUUACUGUGCCGGAUUCUGGUGGUAGAGUUUUCAGGACGCCGUUGACUGAUGAAGCCAUAUGGAAGCGACUUAAAGAGGCUGGUUUCGAUGAAGAGUCUAUCAAACGGAGGGACAAGGCUGCUCUUAUCGCCAAUAUUGCCCGCCUUGAAGCUGAGAAAUACGAUAUUGAACAUCAUAUGGGUCUUAUCCUCUUGGAAAGAAAAGAGUGGGUUUCAAAGUAUGAUCAAUUGAAAGCUGCUGCUGAUGCUGCUGAGUUGAACUAUAAGCGUGAACAGGCUGCACGUGCGUCUGAUUUGGCCGAAGCAAAGAAGCGAGAAGAUGCUCUUAAGAAAGCUCUUGGUGUUGAGAAAGAAUGUGUUGCAAAUAUUGAGAAAGCACUGCAUGAGAUGAGAGCAGAGUCUGCUGAGGCAAAAGUUGCAGCUGAGAGUAAAUUGGCUGAAGCACGAAGUGUGACAGGGGAUGCUCAGAAGAAAUUAACAGAGGUUCAGGCAAAACUCUGUGCAGCAGAAUCAUUGGAAGCAGAAGCUAGUCGAUAUCACCGAGCUGCCGAAAGAAAGCUACGUGAAGUUGAAGAACGUGAAGAUGACCUUAGAAGGCGGAUCUUGCUGUUCAAAUCUGAGUGUGACAACAAAGAGAAUGAAAUCCACUCUGAGAGGCAAUCUUUACGUGAAAGGCAGAAAGUUUUGCAGCAGUCUCAAGACAGAUUGCUUGAUGGGCAAUCUUUACUUAACCAAAGGGAGGAGUACGUUUUUAACAGAUCUCAAGAAUUAACUAGGCUUGAGAAGCAAUUGGAAGCUUCAAAGUUGGAUGUAGAAAACGAGCGCAAAGUUCUUUUCGAGAAAAAACAAGAUUUGGAUCUUUUACAAACGUCCUUGUCAGCAAGAGAGGAGGCUGUUAUCAGCAAGGAGUGUGAACUUACAAAGAAAGAGGAAGAGCUGCUUAUUCUACAAGGGAAAUUAGCUAACAAAGAGUUUGAUGGGGUUCAACAAGCAGUAGAUGAUCGUGAAGCUGCAUGGAAUGUACAAAAGUCCGCUUUUGAGGCAGAGAUGGACAUGACACGCAAAUUGGCGGAAGAAGAAAUUGAAUCCAAGAGGCGGACUUGGGAGUUGAGGGAAAUCGAUAUGAAGCAAAAGGAGGAGCUUGUGAAGGAUAAAGAGCAUGAUUUAGAGAUUCAAGCAAAAGCAAUUGUGGAAAAGGAGAAAGAUUUGGAAGAAAGGCGUCAUUCACUUGAAGAAAAAGAAAAAAACCUUGUUGCUGCUGAGGGAGAGGUGGAGUUGAUUAAGUCCCUGCUGGAGAAAGAUAAAGAAGAGAUCAACCAAAUAAAGCUUGACCUCCAAAAGUCUUUGGAUUCUUUGGAGGAGAAAAAGAAACAAAUAUGUUAUGCUGAAGAGAAAAUGGAGGCAAUGACAAGUGAAACGAAUGACUUACUGGUUCUAGAAAAAAGAUUGAAGGACGAGAUUGACAUGAUCACAGCACAGAAGCUGGAGCUUGAGGCUGAAGCAGAUCAGCUGAAAGCAGAGAAAGCAAAGUUUGAGACUGAAUGGGAAUUAAUUGAUGAGAAAAGAGGUGAGCUCAGAAAAGAAGAAGAACGUGUUGCUGAAGAGAGGUUAGCCAUUUACAAGUUUCUUAAGGAUGAGCGCAACAACCUCAAAUUGGAGAAGGAUGCAAUACGUGAUCAGUAUAAACGUGAUCUUGAGUCUCUUUCUUGUGAUCGUCAAACCUUCAUGAGCGAGUUAGAGUGUGAAAGGUCUGAGUGGUUCAACAAAAUUCAAAAAGAACGUACAGAGAUUUUGCGAGACAUUGAAGUGCAGAAAAAUGAACUUGUGAACCGUGUUGAAAAGAGGCGUGAAGAGAUAGAAAGUUAUCUCAAGGAAAGAAUGGAAGUUUUUGAUGAAGAAAAGAAGAAAGAACUUCAGGAGAUUGCUUCUCUUAGAGAAACUGUGCAGAAGGAAAUGGAAUUUGUUAACUCAGAAAUGAAAAGACUGGAUACUGAAAAAAAGGAGAUCCAAUUGGACCGUGAAAAACGAGAUGAGGAAUGGGCUGAGCUAAAUCGUUCUAUAGAAGAACUUAAGUUGCAGAGAGAGAAAUUGGAAAAACAGAGAGAACUACUGCAUGCAGAUAGGGGAGAGAUUCUUGCUCAGAUUGAGGAAUUGAAGAAAUUGGAGGACUUAAAAGUCAUUCCAGAUCGUAUCACUCCACGAAAGGUGCCGGCAAAGAAUAAAAUAGAUUCAAAUGGUACUGCGCACAAUUCAGGUCGAUCAGAUACUGGACCGUCUGCUCUCUCUGCUCCUUUGUCUUGGCUUAAGCGCUGUGCUGAUACACUGCUUGAGCAAACUCCAAGUAGCAAAAAGAGAAGGCAAGAGAAAGAUGUUGCUUUGGACAGUUUUUCUCCAAGUGCAUUAUCAAAAGAAGCAAAUGCUGCAGAGGCUGUGAAUGCUGCAAAACCAAUUAACCAAACUCCUGUUGGUGCUGAGGAGACCACUGUAUAUAUAGAUAAAAUCAUAACGAUUCGGGAAGUAACCUCAGUAGAUGUUGGAAGAGCUAGUGGGGAUAGUCAGGAGUUUGUGCCCCAAGAAAGUGAUGAUAUACUUGAUAACAAUAAUGGGCUAAAGAGCAAUGACAAUAUAAACCUUGAGACUGAAGCUAGAGUGGCGAGGUAGAAAAACAAGCAAAUUCUUCUUGCUGCAUUUAUAUAGCUUUGGUUCUUGGAGAUAGCUAUCCAUGGAAGUCUGCACCAAAAUGGUCAGGAUAAGCGACUAGAUACUGGGGCCUCUUUUAACGUGGCCUGCUAUUAGUCUUCUAAGCUGACUAAUCUUGUAAAUGCUACUUUAUGUGAGCUUUUAAUCAUGCGUGCUUUUGUUAGGUAGGUGAUGUUAAUAGGUGUUUGAUAGCAUUCCUUGGCUGAAAGGAAGGUUUUUAGUAUAGUUGUGCUGGUUUUUAGCUCAUAACUUUGUGCCAGUGUGUGGUUGUGCUGGUAAUGUAGACAUGCAAGUGAGAAGUAUGUGGUGCUUAGAUGUGGAUUUAACCGUCUUGGAACUCUGGGGUCCUUGGUAUUUCGCGGUGUUUAGUUUUUACAAUAUUUGAUAUCUGAGAAUCGGAUACCUCAUUGCACAAUAGUAUAGUUUAUAUUUUCCU